GGAUUUCCCACACUAAGGACGCUAAAGUGAUGGCAAUGGGAUUAAUGCUAUUGAAGCGGUCCUGGAGGGGUAUCCUCAUCUGCGCCCGCUAAGAGGAUUUAUGGGCUUGAUGGACCAGCUGCACAAAGCCCAGGAGGUGCUACAAGCUCGGGAGCUCGCAGCUUUCGCCCGUAGUCUAUCCCAAAGCCCCCGCCGCAGCGGCACACCGGCGACCGCCAUUGGAGAGAGGAGUCUCAACACAGCUGCCGUGGAAUUCCUCCUCGUGCCAUUCUGAGCCUAACUUACCGGCCUUCUUCUUGGCAGCAAUGUGGUCAGAGGAUGAAGAGCAAGCCUUCAUCGCUCCAACAUCACCAGUUUCCUCCAUCACCUCCAUUCCCUCAUCGGAGAGGAAACGCCGUCGUUCACGCCGCUGGCACCCCUUAACUCAGCCAGAUUCUGGGACUUCUGAGCAGCCGGCUGGGCUGGUUUCUCUAGAGACUGUAACUCUCCCAAGGCCUUCCCAGAGGCUGAGCUUCAACCCUCAGCUGACUCUGGACCCCUGGAGACCAAGAAGCUAGCACAACCUGUGUUACCUGAGAACUCUGAGCCCUCUCAGCAAUCAUUCUCCGCUGAGAGCCCGGGAGAGUUAACCCAGUCACCUCCGCCCUCUGUUGGGAGUUUCUGUGAACUAUUUCAGUCAGCAGAGGACUGCACCUUGCUGUCAGUGCCUGAGCCAAACCCAUGUGCUGCUCAGCUCCAGUCAGCAUCAACCUUGCCAGAGGUCCCCGCACCUGCUGGUUCUGUUUUGUCUGCCAGAGGCCUCCGUGCCUGCUGGCCCUGCUGGAGGGUCCAAGGGGCCUGUUCAGCAGCCUGCUUCCGCUGGAGGGUCCGAGCAGCCUCGGCAUCUGCCCCGCCUGGUGCAGCCUCGGCAUCUGCCCCGCCUGGUGCAGCCUCGGCAUCUGCCCCGCCUGGUGCUGCAGGUCCACAUUUGCCGCCUCAACAUCGUCGGCCGUCUGCCAGGCAGCUUGUUCGGCAUCAUCGCCACCGUGCGCAACCUCCUGACUGCCACCACUGCCUUCCGCGUGGCCGGCCUCUAGACCUUUUUCACCUGUGCCGCCGCCGCUGCUUUUCACACAGUUGGCCUCCUGAACUGUUUUGGCCGCAUGCAUUGUCGGCCUCUGGGUAGGCCCUCUGAACUGUUUGCUGGUUCUGUUUUUCUUGUGCUCUAGUAUUUUUGGUUUUGUGUAUUUUGGUUUGUUUUUGGACUUUGUUUUUGUUGUUUUUGUUUCCCGUUCCCUGAUUACUCCCCAGUGUAUAUAAGCCCUGUGUUUCCCUUUGCUCUCUGUUGCGUCGUUAACAUCUGCUCACCCUCGGAUUUCGCUGUGUGUUCCGUUACCUGUUUUGCCUGCCUGUUAGUUUAUUUUCCCCCAGUAUAGUUAAUCUUCUGUUCAGUCUGCAACCUGCAAUAAAGCUGUUUAUUUUUAGUUCAACUUUGCCUCAGUGAGUCCUGCAUUUUGGGUCCUUCCUCCUUGCCUGCAUGCACACAGCCAUGACAGUAUUAAAAUAUGGCACUAUUUUGGACAUUUGAGAAACAUAAUGAUGAUAUUUAUGUGCAC
ensembl:lncRNA